UCCUGCCAGUAAUGGAGAUGCAUGAGUGCGUCUCGAGAAGAUUAACCGAGCAUGUCUAAAGUAGCAUGCCGCAAAUAAGCGAAACGCGAAUGGCUCAAUUAAAUCAGUUAUGCGACUUCCUUAAGAUGCGUUUCUUCCUACUUGGAGUAGGACGCGCCAGAUGCUAGAGCUGAAUAGCCAUGCAGUGAGCCUGGAGCCCUUUGGGUAACGGGUGCUUUUAUUAGACCAAGAUCGAUCGGGUUUCGGCCCGUAUUGUGUGGUGACUCUGGAUAACUUUCUGCUGAUCGCAUGGCCACGAGCCGGCGACCUUUCGUUUCAAGGUCUGCGCUUAUCAAACUUUCAUGGUAGUGUACUUGCCCUGUACCGAUGUUGUUACGCGUAACGGAGAAUCAGGGUUCGAUUCCGGAGAGGGAGCCUGAGAAACGGCUACCACAUCCAAGGAAGGCAGCAGGCGCGCAAAUUACCCACUCCCGGCACGGGGCGCGAGGUAAGCCUGACGAAAAAGUAACAAUACGCGACUCUUUUGAGCCCCGUAGAUUGAAAUGAGUACACUCUAAAUCCUUUAACGAGGAUCAAUUGGAGGGCAAGUCUGGUGCCAGCAGCCGCGGUAAUUCCAGCUCCAAUAGCGUAUACUAAAGCUGCUGCGGUUAAAAAGCUCGUAGUUGGAUCUCAGUUCCAGACGAGUAGUGCAUCUACCCGAUGCGACGGCUCGGACUGAACAUCAUGCCGGUUCUUUCUUGGUGCACUUCAUUGUGUGCCUCGAGAUGGCCGGUGCUUUUACUUUGAAAAAAUUAGAGUGCUCAACGCAGGCGAGUCGCCUGAAUAAACUUGCAUGGAAUAAUAGAACAAGACCUCGUUUCUGUUCUGUUGGUUUUUGGAAUACGAGGUAAUGAUUAAGAGGGACGGACGGACGGGGGCAUUCGUAUUGCGGCGCUAGAGGUGAAAUUCUUGGACCGUCGCAAGACGAACUACUGCGAAAGCAUUUGCCAAGAAUCUUUUCAUUGAUCAAGAACGAAAGUCAGAGGUUCGAAGGCGAUCAGAUACCGCCCUAGUUCUGACCAUAAACGAUGCCAACCAGCGAUCCGCCUGAGUUACUCAAAUGACUCGGCGGGCAGCUUCCGGGAAACCAAAGAUUUGGGUUCCGGGGGAAGAGAGUAGUGCGUUUGGUUCCGGUGGGGGAAGUAUGGUUGCAAAGCUGAAACUUAAAGGAAUUGACGGAAGGGCACCACCAGGAGUGGAGCCUGCGGCUUAAUUUGACUCAACACGGGAAAACUUACCCGGCCCGCGCGACACUGGCCGAGGAUUGACAGAUUGAGAGCUCUUUCUUGAUUCGGUGGAUGGUGGUGCAUGGCCGUUCUUAGUUGGUGGAGCGAUUUGUGCUGGUUAGAUCGCAUAACGAGACGAGACUCUAGCCUAUUAAAUAGCGGCUUGCCAGCACCUUUUACAAAACCUUCUUAGAGGGACAAGCGGCUCCUAGCCGCACGAAACAGAGCAAUAACAGGUCUGUGAUGCCCUUAGAUGUCCGGGGCCGCACGCGCGCUACACUGAAGGAAGCAGCGUGUCUUUAUCCCUGUCUGAAAAGACUGGGUAACCCGUGGAAUUCUUUCGUGAUUGGGAUAGGGGCUUGCAAUUGUUCCCCUUGAACGAGGAAUUCCCAGUAAGCGCGAGUCAUAAGCUCGCGUUGAUUACGUCCCCUCGCGCUGUGAGCAGACGCCCGUCGCUACUACCGAUUGAAUGAUUUAGUGACGUCUUCGGACCGAUGUCCGGCGCGGCCUUUCGGUUGCGCCGGUCUGUUGGAAAGAUGACCAAACUUGAUCAUUUAAAGCGCAAGUAAAAGUUCGCUAACAAGGUUUCCGUAGGUGAACCUGCGGAAG
rnacentral:rRNA from 1 species